GACGAACGCUGGCGGCGUGCCUAAUACAUGCAAGUAGAACGCUGAAGAGAGGAGCUUGCUCUUCUUGGAUGAGUUGCGAACGGGUGAGUAACGCGUAGGUAACCUGCCUUGUAGCGGGGGAUAACUAUUGGAAACGAUAGCUAAUACCGCAUAACAAUGGAUGACACAUGUCAUUUAUUUGAAAGGGGCAAUUGCUCCACUACAAGAUGGACCUGCGUUGUAUUAGCUAGUAGGUGAGGUAAUGGCUCACCUAGGCGACGAUACAUAGCCGACCUGAGAGGGUGAUCUGCCACACUGGGACUGAGACGCGGCCCAGACGCCUACGGGAGGCAGCAGUAGGGAAUCUUCGGCAAUGGGGGCAACCCUGACCGAGCAACGCCGCGGGAGUGAAGAAGGUUUUCGGAUCGUAAAGCUCUGUUGUAAGUCAAGAACGGGUGUGAGAGUGGAAAGUUCACACUGUGACGGUAGCUUACCAGAAAGGGACGGCUAACUACGUG
rnacentral:rRNA from 1 species